CAGUCNAANGGAGUNUUUAUUCAAGUUCUUCGGGWAGAGANAAAUUACUUAGUGGCGGACGGGUGAGUAACGCGUGGGUAACCUGCCUCACACAGGGGGNUAACAGUUGGAAACGACUGCUAAUACCGCAUAAGACCACAGCACCGCAUGGUGCAGGGGUAAAAGAUUUAUCGGUGUGAGAUGGACCUGCGUCUGAUUAGAUAGUUGGUGGGGUAGAAGCCUACCAAGUCAACGAUCAGUAGCCGACCUGAGAGGGUGAACGGCCACAUUGGGACUGAGACACGGCCCAAACUCCUACGGGAGGCAGCAGUGGGGAAUAUUGGACAAUGGGGGAAACCCUGAUCCAGCAACGCCGCGUGAGUGAAGAAGCAUUUCGGUAUGUAAAGCUCUAUCAGCAGGGAAGAAAAUGACGGUACCUGACUAAGAAGCCCCGGCUAACUACGCGCCAGCAGCCGCGGUAAUACGUAGGGGGCAAGCGUUAUCCGGAUUUACUGGGUGUAGAGGGAGCGUAGACGGCAUAGCAAGUCUGAAGUGAAAGCCCGGGGCUCAACCCCGGAACUGCUUUGGAAACUGUUAAGCUAGAGUGUCGGAGAGGUAAGUGGAAUUCCCAGUGUAGCGGUGAAAUGCGUAGAUAUUGGGAGGAACACCGGUGGCGAAGGCGGCUUACUGGACGAUAACUGACGUUGAGGCUCGAAGGCGUGGGGAGCAAACAGGAUUAGAUACCCUGGUAGUCCACGCGGUAAACGAUGAAUACUAGGUGUCGGGAGGAUUAACCUUUCGGUGCCGUCGCAAACGCAGUAAGUAUUCCACCUGGGGAGUACGUUCGCAAGAAUGAAACUCAAAGGAAUUGACGGGGACCCGCACAAGCGGUGGAGCAUGUGGUUUAAUUCGAAGCAACGCGAAGAACCUUACCAAAUCUUGACAUACCUAUGACAGGCAAGUAAUGUUGUCCUUCCUUCGGGACAUAGGAUACAGGUGGUGCAUGGUUGUCGUCAGCUCGUGUCGUGAGAUGUUGGGUUAAGUCCCGCAACGAGCGCAACCCUUGUCCUUAGUAGCCAGCAGUAAGAUGGGCACUCUAGGGAGACUGCCAGGGAUAACCUGGAGGAAGGUGGGGAUGACGUCAAAUCAUCAUGCCCCUUAUGAUUUGGGCUACACACGUGCUACAAUGGCGUAAACAAAGAGAAGCGAGCCUGCGAGGGGGAGCAAAUCUCAAAAAUAACGUCUCAGUUCGGAUUGUAGGCUGCAACUCGCCUACAUGAAGCUGGAAUCGCUAGUAAUCGCGAAUCAGAAUGUCGCGGUGAGUACGUUCCCGGGUCUUGUACACACCGCCCGUCACACCAUGGGAGUCAGCAAUGCCCGAAGUCAGUGACCCAACCGCAAGGAAGGAGCUGCCGAA
rnacentral:rRNA from 1 species